GCGGAGGCAGCAGUGAGGAAUUUUGGACAAUGGGCGCAAGCCUGAUCCAGCAAUGCCGCGUGCAGGAUGAAGGCCUUCGGGUUGUAAACUGCUUUUGUACGGAGCGAAACGGUCUUUUCUAAUAUAAAAGGCUAAUGACGGUACCGUAAGAAUAAGCACCGGCUAACUACGUGCCAGCAGCCGCGGUAAUACGUAGGGUGCAAGCGUUAAUCGGAAUUACUGGGCGUAAAGCGUGCGCAGGCGGCUAUAUAAGACAGAUGUGAAAUCCCCGGGCUCAACCUGGGACCUGCAUUUGUGACUGUAUAGCUAGAGUACGGUAGAGGGGGAUGGAAUUCCGCGUGUAGCAGUGAAAUGCGUAGAUAUGCGGAGGAACACCGAUGGCGAAGGCAAUCCCCUGGACCUGUACUGACGCUCAUGCACGAAAGCGUGGGGAGCAAACAGGAUUAGAUACCCGUGUAGUCCG
rnacentral:rRNA from 1 species